GCCCUACCCGAGGAUCCACUUCAUGCUUUCCUCCUACGCCCCGGUGAUCUCGGCCGAGAAGGCCUACCACGAGCAGCUCUCCGUGGCGGAGAUCACCAACAGCGCCUUCGAGCCGUCCUCCAUGAUGGCCAAGUGCGACCCGCGCCACGGCAAGUACAUGGCGUGCUGCCUGAUGUACCGCGGCGACGUGGUCCCCAAGGACGUGAACGCCGCGGUGGCCACCAUCAAGACGAAGCGCACCAUCCAGUUCGUGGACUGGUGCCCCACGGGGUUCAAGUGCGGCAUCAACUACCAGCCGCCCA
rnacentral:misc_RNA from 1 species